rnacentral:rRNA from 1 species
GUGGGGAAUAUUCCGCAAUGGACGAAAGUCUGACGGAGCAACGCCGCGUGAGUGAUGAAGGUUUUCGGACUGUAAAGCUCUGUUGUUUGGGACGAAAGUGCCUGUUGCGAACAGUUACGGGUAUUGACGGUACUAAACGAGGAAGCCACGGCUAACUACGUGCCAGCAGCCGCGGUAAUACGUAGGUGGCAAGCGUUGUCCGGAAUUAUUGGGCGUAAAGAGCAUGUAGGCGGGAAUCUAAGUCUGUUGUUAAAAUGCGGGGCUCAACCCCGUAUUGCGAUGGAAACUGGGUUUCUUGAGUGCAGGAGAGGAAAGGGGAAUUCCCAGUGUAGCGGUGAAAUGCGUAGAUAUUGGGAGGAACACCAGUGGCGAAGGCGGUUUGCUGGGCCAUAACUGACGCUGAGGCACGAAAGCGUGGGGAGCAAAUAGGAUUAGAAACCCGAGUAGUCC